UGAGGAAGGCAGCGACGCACGGCAACCCCCUCAGAGGCCGUGGCACCGUGUUGGCCCUGAUGGCACCUCACUGGCGUGGCUCAGUGCCUGCUGGGAGGACCUGCGCGCCGCCCCUGCCCCGCCCGCCUCACUGGGACACUCUAUCACUCGCCCACUCGCUCGCCAACUCGCUCAGGGCAGAGGAGUGGCAAAGGAAAGGAAGGAAAGUAACGAAAGAAAGUGGGAGAACGAAGACAAAAUAACAGAUACUUAAGAAAUAAAAAAAGGGGUGGAAAGGAAAACAUAUUAAAGGAAAACAGUGAAAUUAAACCAUAAGUGGAAAAUAUAUAAAAAAGUGAAAGGAAAGGAAAACUAAUAGGUACAUAACAGUGAAAAAAAGAAGAAAAAAACAGAACCAAAGGAAAAUAAGGGAAAAUAUAUUGGAUAGCGAUAGUAGGGAAGAGAAAAGGAAAACUAAAAUGGAAAGAGGAAGAGCUAAAUAUAUAUAAAAAGAGAUAAAGAGGACCACAAAAGGAACAGAAAAUAAAAGAAAGUAAUAAAAUAAAGUGGAAGAGAGGAAAGAAAAUAAAGAAGAGAGACUGAGGGAAAAGAAAGUGGAACGAGACAGAGGAAAUGAGAGUGGAAGACAGGAAGACAAACAAAUUCAGAGGAAGGUCGUGAGAGGGACUUGAGUGUGGCGAAGAGAAACUAAAGGAAGAAAAAUGGGAUAAACUCGAAAUAAAAGAAAACGAAAGAAAGAAAAGAAAAUACAAGGCAAGACAGAAAGAGAAACAGAAACCAAAGAUAAGGAGAGAAAAUAAUAAAAACAAAAAUAAAA